GCCCAAGAGAUCGGGAUAACACCUGGAAACAGAUGCUAAUACCGGAUAACAAUAGAUGAUGCCUAUCAACUGUUUAAAAGAUGGUUCUGCUAUCACUCUUGGAUGGACCUGCGGUGCAUUAGCUAGUUGGUAGGGUAACGGCCUACCAAGGCGAUGAUGCAUAGCCGAGUUGAGAGACUGAUCGGCCACAUUGGGACUGAGACACGGCCCAAACUCCUACGGGAGGCAGCAGAG
rnacentral:rRNA from 1 species